rnacentral:rRNA from 1 species
UACAGAGGGUGCGAGCGUUAAUCGGAAUUACUGGGCGUAAAGCGUGCGCAGGCGGUUUUGUAAGUCUGACGUGAAAUCCCCCGGGCUCAACCUGGGAAUUGCGUUGGAGACUGCAAGGCUGGAGUCUGGCAGAGGGGGGGUAGAAUUCCACGUGUAGCAGUGAAAUGCGUAGAGAUGUGGAGGAACACCGAUGGCGAAGGCAGCCCCCCUGGGUCAAGAUUGACGCUCAUGCA